CCUCCUUUUCUUGGCGGGGGUCGGGCGUGCGGUCCCGGUCCCCGUAAUGUACGGAGGUAGAGAGGGAAAGGGCUCUGGCCCCCUCGGCGUCAUGUCUUCGGUACCGGCUGCUUCCAGUCCGCCGGUUCUAUCCUCAAGCGCCGGGACACGG
ensembl:snoRNA SNORA57 small nucleolar RNA, H/ACA box 57